AUUGAACGCUGGCGGCAUGCCCUACACGUGCAAGUCGAACGGCAGCGGGGGAGAAGCUUGCUUUUCCUGCCGGCGAGUGGCGAACGGGUGAGUAAUACAUCGGAACGUGCCCUGUAGUGGGGGAUAACUAGUCGAAAGAUUAGCUAAUACCGCAUACGACCUGAGGGUGAAAGUGGGGGACCGCAAGGCCUCAUGCUAUAGGAGCGGCCGAUGUCUGAUUAGCUAGUUGGUGGGGUAAAGGCCUACCAAGGCGACGAUCAGUAGCUGGUCUGAGAGGACGAUCAGCCACACUGGGACUGAGACACGGCCCAGACUCCUACGGGAGGCAGCAGUGGGGAAUUUUGGACAAUGGGCGAAAGCCUGAUCCAGCAAUGCCGCGUGUGUGAAGAAGGCCUUCGGGUUGUAAAGCACUUUUGUCCGGAAAGAAAUGGCUCUGGUUAAUACCUGGGGUCGAUGACGGUACCGGAAGAAUAAGGACCGGCUAACUACGUGCCAGCCGCCGCAGUAA
rnacentral:rRNA from 1 species